GGAGAGGAGGAAGACGGAGGAGACUGACAGGGAUGAAGGAGCAGGUCUGAUGGAGGUUCCUCGGCUGACACUGCAAAAAAGCUCAGUGUCUUGGUUGGUACAGAUGUGACUCUCAGCUGCCUGUUCGACAAACUGUCCAGGCUGGUAGAGUGGAGCACUCUCACCGUUGAGUGGAACAUGGUGGAUAAACAUGCAGGGAAGAGCAUUGUGUACACUUUUGAGGAUGGGAGAGCUCAUGUGAGCAGAGGAAAGUUUGUGGUGAAUAGAACGGGGCUGCUACAGAGCGAUGCAUCUCUGCAGCUUCGUAAUGUGACUGUGGGAGAUGAAGGGCUCUACACCUGCAGAAUCAUAACACCUGUAGUCUACACACAGUCCACCUCCCUGGAAGUACAAGCUCGGCCUUCGGUGUCACUACCAGAAAAAGCAGCAGUGACAGAAGGGGAAGAGAAAACCAUACAGUGCGACAUCACAGGUUUCUACCCAGAGAAACUGUCCGUGACAUGGCACAUCAAAAAUGGCUCCCACAUGGUCCAUGCAGGUGAAAACCAUCUUUUCCGUGUCUGCACUGAAAUGGCCGUUCACAAUCCAGACGGCACCUACAGUAUUCGCAGUGGCAUCACACUGCACUCCUCAGCAGUGACAGGUGGAGAGAUACACAUCAUCUGCCAGGUGGAGCACCAGACCAAUAGUAGGCCAUACAACAGAUCUGUUACAGUGACUGUUCAAGCUCCAUCACAACCCUCUUACAGUGCUGUCACACUGAUAGCUGUCACCAGUGUCAUCAGUUUGCUGCUGGUCACCUCUGUUAUUGGAGGAACUUUGCUUCUCUACAGGUAUUUCUGCAAAGUUCCACCAAGUGUUUCUGAAAUCAUCAAACCCAACAUCAUAUAUGCUGAGGUGCCGACCGAUCUAAUAUGUACCAUCCAAGGAGCUAGACAGCGAGAGCUCAAAGUGAAAUGGUUUAAACUGAGAAGUGGUGCGGACUCAGAUAGUCUGGUCAAGUCAGAGUCUGUUUCUCCGUUGCUCAGUGAGGAUCUGAGCGAAAAGGCUUGUUUCUCAUCAAAUGGCAGACACCAUACAUCUGUCCUGACUGUGUGUUUGAAUGUUACUGAAGACCAGACCAAAUACCAUUGUGUUGUACUGUGUAGAGGCAAGACCUUCAGCAGAGAGACCACAGUCAGGGUCAAAGUGGAGCCGUCCUUCCUUCAGAUCUCCAGCAUCCCUCAGAUCCCCAAGGUGGAGAGCCUGCUGGUUCUCUGCUGUCGGGUGGAGAACUUUUACCCACAGGACAUCCACCUGGAGUGGUCCAGGAAUGACGGAGAGCAGGUCCACAACGUCACACACUUUGGACCUUUCUCCGACCACAACCGCCUUUACAGCGUGUGGAGUGAGAUCCAGCUGGUCAUGGCCAGAGAGGAUGAGAAGAUGGUCUACACCUGCCGUGUUUAUCACUCCAGCUUCCCUUCUCCGGGCUACAAAGACAUCCUGUACCACAUCAACACUCAAGGAACUCCUCCCAAUGUGAUGUUCAUCGACUGUGAACCGUUUUGCCCUCUGUUGAAUGAAGAGUGUACGCUGCACCUGUGCAUCAAAGAUUUCUGUCCUGAAGACGUGACAGUGACUUGGACUAAAGAUGGAGAGACAGUUCUCUCUGGCAUCUUCAACACUCCCCCCAGCCUCAACAUCAACGGCCUCUACUCCAUGUUCAGUUUUCUCAAACUUACUCCCAACAUGGACAACCGAGACUCCAAGUUCAAGUGCCGGGUGGUCCACAGUGCUCAGAGGGAGCCUGAGGAGAGAGUCUUCAUACUGCCAAACCUGCACCUGACAGACAGCUGCUGAUGUAAAUCUACAACAGUUUGACUGGUGAAAGUUGAAAUGCAGAUCAGUGGCGUUAAAACGGGACUGAUGAUGAUGGGCCCUUUCAGUAAAAUCAUAUCUAGUCCAGUCAUUGCUGUCCAGCUCUGAUAUGAUGGACAUGAUGAGUGACUCUUUUUUCUCUGUAUGGAUCUGCAAUAGUUUUAAACUAACUGCUUCCGUAGCACCAAGUAUCAAAAACUGUAAAAAAAAAAAAAAAAAAAGAAAGGAGAAAAAAAAGUACUUUUUACUUCUUUUUGAUCAUAUAUUUACAGAUUUAAAUCAUCAUUUUGUAAAACUUGUAUCUUAUUCAGAGAAACUUUUUGGGUACUGUCUUACUUAAUGGAUCCACAAUUUCCUCCCAAUGUCCAAAUAGCCUCCUUGGAAGUUUUCUGGAAAUAACUAUGUCAUUUGGUACUAAUUAUAGGAAAAAAUAGGAAUUUCAUUUAAAGGCUACUCCAUUUAAACCUCAGUGAACAUUCAUCCAUUAUUCAUUUAUUAUGGAAACUUGGAGACAAAUUUCAUGUUUUUGCAUGUUAAUGUGGCAAGAGCGGGAGGGGGGGGGGUUGUAUUUUAAUUUUUUUUUUAACUAUGCCACCUCAGGGAAUUUUAACUACAUGGGACCCCAAAAAACAAAAGGUCACACAGGCCCAAAAACACUUGACCGAGACGUGAUUCCCAAAAAUGCCAUAGCACUUUAGUGAGAGAGAUAGUCGGCAUCUGAGGUGUUUGGAGGAUGGUGUUUUUUUACUUUGCCUUUCGAAAACCAAAAGCAAAAUUGUAAAAAAGUGUGUGUGUCUGGUGUAGCUAGACACAAAACACGCUCAGCUAAUUAGCUUACAGUUGUAACUAAAGAUUUCAUCCAAGGUCAAGAAGAAUAUUGUUAGCAAACUACAUUUAGUGGGAUUACAGGUGAUAUUAAAAAACGCUGUGAAUGAUAGCACAUCCACUGUGUAGAGGACCCAAAGGCUACUGUAUCAAGCUGUAUGCUAACGUUAGCAGUUCUGUCUGCUCUUUAUUAGAUUUGGGGAGGUUUACACUCCAGCAACUCAGCCAAACUCUUUACUGACAUAGGUUUAUCAAACACAUUAAUCCUCAUCUUAAAAGCCUUUUCCUUUGUAACAUUAAACAUACUGUUUGAAAAUACAAACAAUAAAGCAUAAUUUCAAUAUGUAAGCUAGCAGCAAAUAUAAGGCUAUGUCAGAAUGAAAUGAAGAAAAAUGUCAAAUCGGAUUAUAUUGGUAAUACUUUUUACUUUUAUUUAUUCUGUUUAUUUCUCAGGGACAGUGCAUAUGAAUAAUCGUUACUGUAAAUAUUUCAGCAUUAGCCAAGAGGCUAGUUUUCAUCUGUACUGGCCAGGUGUGAAUGAGGUGUGAACAAUAAUUUUGAUGUAAGGCAUGUCAAUUACAGUAACAGAACACAGACGUGGGCAGCAAUAAAAUCAGAGCAAUUUAUGGUUCAACAAAGCAAAAACAAACAAUGACAGAACAGCUUUGCAACAACAAUAAAGCCUAACAUACAAUAAAAAAAGAAAGCCUCGUUUCUUAAUUUCCAUGUCGUUUGGCAUUACAUAGCCAUCAAGUGCCUAUGUAAGACCUCUUUACAAGAUUGUCAUUUUAAAACAAGUCAGCUGGAAAUAUUAAAAAGUCAGCCAGAGUUUUUACCUAACUCAUGGAACUAACAUUAACUUAACUAGCUAGUUACUGUUGAUAAAAUCUGCUAGAGGUAGUUGUCAUUCUUUGUUUUCUUUUUAGAAAAAUUACAAAACAAAUUCUGGACCCAUAAAAUAAAGUGUUUCCAGUUUUUAUGUUUUUGUGCUUUAUUUUCUUAGAUCAAAAAAAAUUGUAGAAAAAUGUCUUAAUCUUGUGCAAAGUGAGCUUUGAAAAAGUCUCAUUUUGGUGUCGUUCCUGAACCGUUUAUUUGCGCAGAUAUUGAACAUUUUCAAACCGUCUCUGCUCAGUGUUUGUUCUCAUGAGUUCUCAAGUCCUUUGUGAUACAUAAUUUCAACAUUUAACUAUUUUUUAAACCACACAAUGUGAGAAUGGAGGACAAAUAAAUCACCUGUUACUCCUAGCACUGGCUAUUGGGAAGCUGUGAGAUUCAGUGUGAACACUGCUGUGUUUGUCUGAUUACAGAUUUUUCAAUACACUUCUUUAUAGCAAGACUUUAGUAUGUGUCAUCAAAUGUUUCUACUAUUUCUUAGACUGUAAUUAGGUCGAAUUAGGUUAGUUUCAGUGUCCCACCAACUAAACCAGGUGUGCUGAGAGUUUAUCUAUCUGAUAUUUAGCUGAUGUUGGUAAACUUAAAUAGCAGGAGUUGGUAUUUAUUGACUUUAAAUAACGAGUUUAUGUGCACCUCUAAAGAGCACAAGUUUUUACUGGACAGAUGCCAACAGAUGUUGCUUGUCAUGUAACAGGACCUAUAAGUGUUCUGCUGGUCUGCAUACAGGCACGGUGGGCCAAAUCAUGUGGACUGUGCUACUGGAUUAAUUAUUGACUUUUCAGGUGUUAAUUAUAAUUAUUACCUAGUUAAAGUGUUCACAAUUUUUCAAGUCUGUCUCAGAAACAACUAAAGUCUCUACUGUAUAAAAACAGGAUGGAAUCAUGACAAAAAUUGGUGUCAAACUCGCCUUUAUUCUCUCCCAGAAUUUCACUGUUGCUUUAACUCACAACACCGAAUUUGCUGUGAAGAGCCAGACUACUUUGAUAAAUUUGAAUAUUUAACGCAUCAGGGACCACAUUAAAAAAGUGCAAAACCCCUAAAUCCCCUGCCCAGUUUUCAGAAAACAGUUUCUUCAUAUCAGCAUAUGUGGAAGUGCUUAUCACUACAGAUCACCAAAUCAGCUCAUACAAACUGUCAUGUUACAUAUUAAUACUUACUGGUGUAAGUUUCAAAUCUUUUUCAAAACAAUUUUUCAACAUGAGGAAACAAUAAGGAAAAAAUAAACAAUUAAUACAUUUAAAUGAGAAUGGUGAUGCACUGGUAAAAAUAAUGUAUUACUUUUAUUUUGUAAGCUGUAUGAACUUCUGAGCUCAAAGUGAGUCCAGUUUGUUCUGUACAUUCAUCUCUGCUGUGACAAAAGCAAACAUAAAGACUAUGAAUCAGUCCGAACACUUAAACAGAAACCGUGGAAGCACUACAAGAACUCACAGUCUGCUUAUAGUCACACACACAUAGUAUGCCACA